rnacentral:lncRNA from 1 species
GGGCUCAGAGAACCCUGCAAAAGGGGCAGAAAGAUUCUAAGAGCCAGGAGGGAUGGAGAACUCCAAUGCAACAAGGUCUUCUAGACACAGCAGGACUGAUACGCAUAUGAACUCACAGAGACUGUGGCAGCACUCACAGGGCCUGCACAGGUUCAAGUCAGAUGGGGCCUCAGCACUGAGAGGGGAAAUGGACACAUGCCCCAUCCCUAACCAAGAAGGUAUCUAACUGACAGCAGGAGGAAAAACAAGAUUUCUCUAAUGGAGUCUCAUUGUGCAUAUCAACUACACUUAAGGGCACGGCGCUUAGUACAACAACAAAACCCAAAUCCAUCUGAAACCCUGUCUUCUCCUGGAAGCCUGCUCUCUACCAAUCUAUGCAAUUCCGUCUUUAGUGUAAAGGGAGCAGCGAGCAAAGAAAAAGAGAGUGGAGAUUUCUGGGCAAAUGGCUGGGGACUGUGGUGGGUACAGUGGUCAUGUUUCUCAGCCUGGCUGUGUUUGGAGAAAACUGAGGUCUCAGCUGCCCCCUCCCUAUAAAGCAACACCGCGUCAGCAUCCCCUGUGCACCUCCCCCACCGCCAA